AACGAACGCUGGCGGCAUGCCUAACACAUGCAAGUCGAACGAAACCUUCGGGCUUAGUGGCGCACGGGUGCGUAACGCGUGGGAAUCUGCCCCUUGCUUCGGAAUAACAGUUAGAAAUGAGUGCUAAUACCGGAUGAAGUCUUCGGACCAAAGAUUUAUCGGCAAGGGAUGAGCCCGCGUAGGAUUAGGUAGUUGGUGGGGUAAAGGCCUACCAAGCCGACGAUCCUUAGCUGGUCUGAGAGGAUGAUCAGCCACACUGGGACUGAGACACGGCCCAGACUCCUACGGGAGGCAGCAGUGGGGAAUAUUGGACAAUGGACGCAAGUCUGAUCCAGCAAUGCCGCGUGAGUGAUGAAGGCCUUAGGGUUGUAAAGCUCUUUUACCAGGGAUGAUAAUGACAGUACCUGGAGAAUAAGCUCCGGCUAACUCCGUG
rnacentral:rRNA from 1 species